rnacentral:rRNA from 1 species
AUUGAACGCUGGCGGCAGGCCUAACACAUGCAAGUCGAACGAGUGGCGGCCGGGUGAGUAAUGUCUGGGAAACUGCCCGAUGGAGGGGGAUAACUACUGGAAACGGUAGCUAAUACCGCAUACCAUCGGAUGUGCCCAGAUGGGAUUAGCUAGUAGGUGGGGUAACGGCUCACCUAGGCGACGAUCCCUAGCUGGUCUGAGAGGAGGACCAGGCGCACGGGAAAUGGGACACGGUCCAGACACCAAGGGGAAGGAGCAGUGGGGAAUAUUGCACAAUGGGCGCAAGCAUGAUGCAGCCAUGCCGCGUGUAUGAAGAAGGCUUUCGGGUUGUAAAGUACUUUAAGCGAGGAGGCGUGACUCGCAGAAGAAGCACCGGCUAACUCCGUGCCAGCAGCCGCGGUAAUU